rnacentral:rRNA from 1 species
GACGAACGCUGGCGGCGUGCCUAAUACAUGCAAGUCGAGCGCAGAAGGGUGGUACUUGUACCAACUGGGUGAGCAGCGAACGGGUGAGUAACGCGUGGGGAACCUGCCUUUGAGCGUGGGACAACAUUGGGAAACGAAUGCUAAUACCGCAUAAAAACUUGAAACACAAGGUUUAAGAGUGAAAGAUGCAUUUGCAUCACCCAAAGAUGAUCCCCCGGUGUAUUUGCUAGGUGGUUAGGUAAAGGCCCACCAAAGCGAUGAUACAUAGGCGACCCGAGAGGGUGGUCCGCCCAAUUGGGACCGGGACCCGGCCCCAGACCCCUCCGGGGGGCGCCGGAGGGGAUCUUCGGCCAUGGGCGAAAAUCUGACCGAGCAACGCCGGGGGGGUGAAGGAGGUUCUCGGGUCGUAAAACUCUGUUGGUUGGGGAGAAAGUUGGUGAGAGUGAAAAGCUCAUGUAGUGACGGUACCUACCCAGAAAGGGACGGCUAACUACGUG